UGUCUAUCUGCAAAAAAAUCAUACCCAUCUUCUACAACCUGCACAAACAAGCUUCCGUAAUACAUCAGAAUGGUUUGGGUUAUAUUUGACCUCUAACGGGUCAAAUGGGUAUAUGAAACAAGUCAAACGGUUCCAAAGUCUAUUAAAAUGCUGGCAAUAAUCUUUCCAUAAUACAUCAAAACGAUUUGGGUUAAAUUAGGGCUGUAAACGAACCAAACGAACACGAACACGAACAAAACCUUCUUCAUGUUCGGUUCCAAGGCCUAGUAGAUAAAUGUCCAAUAAUCUUUCAUGAAAAUAAACAAAUGAACAUGAACGAACGUUCAUGAACACAUUAUCGAAAGUUUCACGAACACAACUCAACGAACAAGACCUCUGAUCGUGUUCAUUCAUUUAACUAUUGAACAGAAUUUCUUGUUCACGUUCAUUCAUGUUAAACGAAAGAAAUAAAUGAAUUUCCAAGCGAACAGUUCACGAACUGUUUGUU
rnacentral:lncRNA from 1 species